AUUGAACGCUCGCGGGAUGCUUUACACAUGCAAGUCGAACGGCAGCGCGGACUUCGGUCUGGCGGCGAGUGGCGAACGGGUGAGUAAUGUAUCGGAACGUGCCCAGUAGCGGGGGAUAACUACGCGAAAGCGUAGCUAAUACCGCAUACGCCCUACGGGGGAAAGCAGGGGAUCGUAAGACCUUGCACUAUUGGAGCGGCCGAUAUCGGAUUAGCUAGUUGGUGAGGUAACGGCUCACCAAGGCGACGAUCCGUAGCUGGUUUGAGAGGACGACCAGCCACACUGGGACUGAGACACGGCCCAGACUCCUGCGGGAGGCAGCAGUGGGGAAUUUUGGACAAUGGGGGCAACCCUGAUCCAGCCAUCCCGCGUGUGCGAUGAAGGCCUUCGGGUUGUAAAGCACUUUUGGCAGGAAAGAAACGUCGCGGGCUAAUACCCCGUGGAACUGACGGUACCUGCAGAAUAAGCACCGGCUAACUACGUG
rnacentral:rRNA from 1 species